AUUGAACGCUGGCGGCAGGCUUAACACAUGCAAGUCGAGCGGAGAUGAGGUGCUUGCACCUUAUCUUAGCGGCGGACGGGUGAGUAAUGCUUAGGAAUCUGCCUAUUAGUGGGGGACAACAUUCCGAAAGGAAUGCUAAUACCGCAUACGUCCUACGGGAGAAAGCAGGGGAUCUUCGGACCUUGCGCUAAUAGAUGAGCCUAAGUCGGAUUAGCUAGUUGGUGGGGUAAAGGCCUACCAAGGCGACGAUCUGUAGCGGGUCUGGGAGGAUGAUCCGCCACACUGGGACUGAGACACGGCCCAGACUCCUACGGGAGGCAGCAGUGGGGAAUAUUGGACAAUGGGGGGAACCCUGAUCCAGCCAUGCCGCGUGUGUGAAGAAGGCCUUAUGGUUGUAAAGCACUUUAAGCGAGGAGGAGGCUACUGAGACUAAUACUCUUGGACAGUGGACGAUACUCGCAGAAUAAGCACCGGCUAACUCUGUGCCAGCCGCCGCCGUAACAC
rnacentral:rRNA from 1 species